AUAAAAUAAAUAAACAAAUAAGAAAGAGAGGAAAAUAAAAUAAAAGCAGUGGUUACAAAUGAGCUGGAUUCAGAUGUAUUUCCACUACGUAUGGCUCUGUAAAGUGACCCCAACUUGAUCCUUUUCUACGUAUUCUAUACUUAUACGCCGUUCAUAUGGCAUGGUAUAUUCAUAUAUUAAUUAUUGAAUUACACAUAUAUUAUAAUACAUAUCCCAUUCUUGUUUUUAACAUGUAACUUACAUAUACGC
rnacentral:lncRNA from 1 species